GAGGGGUAUAGGUAGCUUGCUAUCUAGAGACCGGCGCACGGGUGCGUAACGCGUAUGCAAUCUACCUUUUACAGGGGGAUAGCCCAGAGAAAUUUGGAUUAAUACCCCAUAGCAUUAUGGAAUGGCAUCAUUCUAUAAUUAAAGUCACAACGGUAAAAGAUGAGCAUGCGUCCCAUUAGCUUGUUGGUAAGGUAACGGCUUACCAAGGCAACGAUGGGUAGGGGUCCUGAGAGGGAGAUCCCCCACACUGGUACUGAGACACGGACCAGACUCCUACGGGAGGCAGCAGUGAGGAAUAUUGGUCAAUGGGCGCAAGCCUGAACCAGCCAUGCCGCGUGCAGGAUGACGGUCCUAUGGAUUGUAAACUGCUUUUGUACGGGAAGAAACACUCGAACGUGUUCGAGCUUGACGGUACCGUAAGAAUAAGGAUCGGCUAACUCCGUG
rnacentral:rRNA from 1 species